rnacentral:rRNA from 1 species
UACGGAGGGUGCGAGCGUUGUCCGGAAUCACUGGGCGUAAAGGGCGCGUAGGCGGCCUGGUAAGUAGGGGGUGAAAUCCUGCGGCUUAACCGCAGGGCUGCCUUCUAAACUGUCAGGCUAGAGCACGGUAGAGGCAGAUGGAAUUCCCGGUGUAGCGGUGGAAUGCGUAGAGAUCGGGAAGAACAUCAGUGGCGAAGGCGGUCUGCUGGGCCGUUGCUGACGCUGAGGCGCGACAGCGUGGGGAGCAAACAGG